CAGCUGUGCAGUGCUUCCGCCGCACCGCUGGUCACGCGACGUGGGGUCUCAGCGGCUUCCAAGGUUCAGUUGUUCUCAUUCAGCUUCAGGGAAUACGUAAGGAAGGAGAAGGAAGGAGAGGAGGCUGCGCUGAGACGUCAAGAGGAGAGAGAUCGCGGGCUGCCUACUCUGCCACGGCUGGUCAGUGGUAUGGUCGUGUGACUGUGACCGGAUUCCCUUGUAAUCAGGUGGACACUUUGUCAUGACAAUGCUCAGGCAGCCAGAAGCGCUGCCAGAGUGGUGAGGAAGGAGGGCGCGGGGGUGAGGCCUUCCUCCUGCAUCGAGGUCCACAGGGACAGCCCCUUCUCGCCCUCACUCUGCACGUCUGCACCAAAGAUUGGAGGCUGGAGCACUUCAGUCUGAUUACUGUGAUCCAUUAUGCAGCACCUCUCUGUAAGGUUAAGAGUGACUGACCCUGAGCACUGUUCUGGCCUCAGCUGGUUGGCCAGCCUCUAGGUAGGCGAACAGCAAGUCAUGCCGAGCCACCAGUGGUCCCUUCACAUUGGCAAUGAGGUCCAGCAUGUCCUGCAG